GCUUGGCUGAAUGAGAGAAAACGAGAAGAAUCCAUAGGACCAAAUACAGGCAAUUAUUUGUCCACAUUCCUGCAUUGGUAAUUUCUCCUCCCUCUUUAGGAAGAGCAAUUUUGGCCUUUUAUCGCUAAACCAAUGAGAAACAACAAAAUAGCCUCCAGUAUGGUGUUCACUUUGGGCCCUAACGUCUCCAGAGGAUGAGAUGCCACAAACUUGUACAACAGGUUCACAUAUGAUGCUUCAGCAGUGGGAAGAAUCUGAUAUUUGCACAAGCUCAUGGUUGUCAGGAUGUUCCAGUGCCAAGAAAACAUGAGCAUAAAGAAUGUGGUUUGAAGUCUGAAGACCUGAGCAGCUAGAUUGCCUUUAACUCCCUGGGAGAUCACAGCAAAGCCCCAUCACCUUAGAGACCUCAAUCUCACCUACCUACACAAUGAGGCUUUUGGAAUAGAUGCUCUUUAGGACUUUUUCUAGAUCUAGUAUUCUCAAUUUUUAAAAAAGAACUCCUAUUUCAUGAGGACACUUUAAAAAAGGACUCUAAUUGACUCCUAAUAAGAAGAUACUUGUUUUUGGAGGAGCAGUGGGUGUGCUCCAAACUUCCUGGUUAUAAUAAUCUAGGAAUAAAGACAUAGAAGACAAUCACCUGAUAAUCACAGCAUAGUAACAAAAUUACUGUUCAAUGGUUCCCAGAAGAGAAACAAUGAUAAUUUCAGUUUAUAAGUUGUGAUUCAUCUAAGGAGAUUCUGAAGAAAUACUUUUGUGAGCAAACCACUGACAGGUUAAUUAUGGGGCAGUUAUUGAGCCAUCACUAUAAAGCAUCCCCAUUCAAUACAAUCAUGUCCUGUGACCCCACCAAAACAAUGACCCCAGCUACAGAGAAAAAGAGGGAAAAAUAGCCAAGACACGAUAAAAGACAAUGGAAAAGAUAUGUGUUUCUGAAGUAAUAAAAUGCUCGAUAUUACAAGAUGACCCAACAUUUUUGACUGAAAUUUAACCACCAAAAGAAGAGCUUUUCAAAUCUUAGUGAGUAUUCAACAAAUUACUGACAACUCUGAAUGCUCCACUUUUCUUCAUUUAAACUCUCAACACUCUAUUUAGGGUGGAAAAUAUGCUUCAUUGAAUAGUAUUAUGAGGUGGAAGCUUAGCCCAGGUCCACCAAAAACUGGACCUAUGACUAUCAUAGGAAAACAUUUGCCCAUCAUCCACAAAAAUAGUAUCUUGUGAUGCCUCUCCCGAUCUGAUGGGGAACCCCAAAUGUGGGGUGAAAGAAUUCACCCAAGGCAGAACAAAAGAGAUAAAAGUUUAUUGAAUACAUCACAAGGGUGGGGGACAGGAGAGCAAAGGAGAGGCUAUCUGCCAGGAGGCAGUGGGGACUGUAUUUAAAGAGGGAAAGUGAGGAGGUAUGGGAAUGUUUGGAAUUUUCCUUUUUUGGUAAGAGUGCCUGGUUGUAAGUAGCCCAUUUGUUAGUUAGGACUUGUCAAUAUUUUGAGGUAGGUUGCCCCAGGGUCCUGUCUGUAUUCAGCCAGGGGUUAAUGUGGGUCCUACGGCCUUGAUCAAAUUUCCAUUGCUCAAGGCUAUUGUCUAAAAGCAGCUUCUAAACUUGUAUUAGCAUGAAAAGGUACAGAGUGUGUAAUCACAUUCCAACAAGAAAGUAAAAAUUGACAUUUAUCCAACCUCCUUAAUUUGGAACAAAGAAAUUGAGGUUCAGAGAGAAGAGAUGACUUGGUCAGUUUCACAGAGCCAGAGCAUAACAGAACUAUAGCUAAAACUUAGAUGUUCUGACUUCUCAACAAAAAGUUAGUCAUUUAGCAACAUAAUUACUGUCACUGUCAUUGAAAGUAUGGUUUAAUAACUGUGGUGAUUUAGGAAAUCCAAGUUGUAUGAUCUACAAUGCUUAUUCAAUUACGAAAGGAAUAAUUUUUGUAUAACUAGGUUAAACAAUAAAAUCAUACAAUAAUUUGAAAAAACUUAAAGGGUACUUUAAAAACCACAAUCUCAGAGUGCUUGGGUGGGUCAGUUAAGUAUCUGACUCUCGAUUUCAGCUUAGCUCAUGAUCUCACAGUUUGUGAGACUGAGCCCCACAUUGGGCUCUGUUCUGACAGCAUGGAGCCUGCUUGGGAUUCUCUGUCUCUUUUCCGCUCUGUU